GGAAAAGGUUGAUAAUAUCAUUCAGAUAAACUUUUGGCGGUAUUUAAUUUAAAAAAAAUAAUAGCGGAAAAAUAAAAAAAAAAAAAACUAACAUGAGAGAUGUUAUGGUUGUCUUAUUUAUUUCCUAUAUUUAUAUUUCAAAACCGCAGCUUCGUACUUCAUUUGGCCUUUUAAACUUUUUUUUAUCCUAGCGUCACUGGUGAAUCUUUUGUAGACGAGACGCGCGUCUGGUGCAAAUAUCAAAUUUUAGUCCUGGUAUCUAUGAUGAGUUUAUUUAUUAUCCAAUACCCUCGUUUAUCUCUUAUCUUUUUUGUCUUAUAAAUUCAUUAAAAUACCUGACACAGCACCA
rnacentral:lncRNA from 1 species